rnacentral:pre_miRNA from 1 species
CUGCGUCACAGGCGACUGCGGCUCCUCCGCCGUGGAAUGCAACGGCGCAGGAGCCGCCCCGCCGGCCACGCUC